GGAAGUGAGGGCAAUCUGGCUGUAACAUCCAUUGAUCACCAAUGUUGAUUAGGCUGGUGUGGCUGGCUAGGCAGGUGUCACCUUCCUUCUUCUCUGCUCCAUGUGUGUCCUUCCCAAAGCUGAGGUCUACAUUGAAGAAUAGAGGGAUUGGUCUUCCUCAAGGGUGUAUGAGUAGUGAUGCACCCUGCUAGAAUUUCCAAACAAGCUCUCAAGAAAUGAACAAACACUGUGGUUUUUUUUUUUAAAUCAAUGAAGAUGCAGAAGUUGUACCAUUU
rnacentral:snRNA from 1 species